rnacentral:rRNA from 1 species
GAACGGGUGAGUAACACGUGGCAACCUGCCCAAAAGAGGGGGAUAACACUUGGAAACAGGUGCUAAUACCGCAUAACCAUAGUUACCGCAUGGUAACUAUGUAAAAGGUGGCUAUGCUACCGCUUUUGGAUGGGCCCGCGGCGCAUUAGCUAGUUGGUGGGGUAAAGGCUUACCAAGGCAAUGAUGCGUAGCCGAACUGAGAGGUUGAUCGGCCACAUUGGGACUGAGACACGGCCCAAACUCCUACGGGAGGCAGCAGUAGGGAAUCUUCCACAAUGGGCGAAAGCCUGAUGGAGCAACGCCGCGUGGGUGAAGAAGGUCUUCGGAUCGUAAAACCCUGUUGUUAGAGAAGAAAGUGCGUGAGAGUAACUGUUCACGUUUCGACGGUAUCUAACCAGAAAGCCACGGCUAACUACGUGCCAGCAGCCGCGGUAAUACGUAGGUGGCAAGCGUUAUCCGGAUUUAUUGGGCGUAAAGGGAACGCAGGCGGUCUUUUAAGUCUGAUGUGAAAGCCUUCGGCUUAACCGGAGUAGUGCAUUGGAAACUGGGAGACUUGAGUGCAGAAGAGGAGAGUGGAACUCCAUGUGUAGCGGUGAAAUGCGUAGAUAUAUGGAAGAACACCAGUGGCGAAAGCGGCUCUCUGGUCUGUAACUGACGCUGAGGUUCGAAAGCGUGGGUAGCAAACAGGAUUAGAUACCCUGGUAGUCCACGCCGUAAACGAUGAAUGCUAAGUGUUG